CUCCCCAAUACAGUUAGAACACGCGCUCUUCGUGGCUUUCGGAGUCGCGAGCGGAGUGUCAGUCGUUCGCAGGCAUCCGCCAACGCAUACACGAUGCUUCCACGUUCCCGCGUUUAUUCAACAAUGAGGCUAAACUCGAAAUCCGCGCUUUCUACGUGCUGCAUAUUCGUAUUAUUGUCCAUUUUGAGCCACGGUGUUACGAAGACUCGUGCAUCUGCGGAUAACACGAGCCAGAAAUCGAGUGGACUCAAAGUUGAUAAAUAUUUUCAACCGGAAGUAUGCGAGCUCAAAUCGAAAAAGGGCGAUCAAGUUACCAUGCACUAUACCGGAACUCUCGAUGACGGCAGUAAAUUCGACUCAAGUUACGACCGGGAUCAACCUUUCGCAUUCCAGUUGGGUGUUGGACAGGUGAUCAAGGGCUGGGAUCAGGGACUCCUCGACAUGUGCGUCGGCGAGAAGAGGAAACUGACGAUACCACCGGAGCUUGGGUACGGAGAGCGAGGGGCUGGCAACGUUAUUCCAGGAGGAGCAACUUUACACUUCGAUGUGGAGCUCCUCGAGAUCAGCGAUUCGCCACCCACGGCCAAUGUUUUCAAGGAAAUCGACACUGACAAGGACAACAUGCUGUCUCGCGAGGAGGUGAGCGAAUAUCUGAGAAAGCAAAUGGUAGAAGCUGAGGAAUCGAACGCGAGUAACAACGAAGAAGUGAAAAAGAUGCUGAAGGAUAACGACAAGUUGGUCGAGGAGAUAUUCCAGCAAGAGGACACUGACAAAAAUGGUUUCAUUUCGCACAGCGAGUUCAGUGGACCAAAACACGACGAGUUGUGAGCUGGUUACUUGGAUCACUUGGUCUUCCAGCUGCGAGUGAGGUUAAAUCCUCGUUGAAGAUCCCUUGUGUGAGGAUGGAGGAUUAAAAUUGAGCAGAACGUCAACAUUGUCUCUGACAUCAAAGAUGGAGUCUCAUGACGAUUUACACUUUUAUUUCCUUUUUUUUUUUUAAAUAAACUCAUGAAUUAAACUUGAAAAUAAAACACUCGAAAGUGAAUAAAGCAGUGAAUGAAGGACGUGCCCGUCGCUAUCAUUAUCAUCGAUAAACUGAAUACGUUUUAUUACUACAUUAUAUUGUAUGUUGUUAAAGUUGGACGAAGGUCAAUAAUAAAUCAAUGUGUUCUCGAGCACAAUUUGUUAAUAAAAAUCGAA
rnacentral:misc_RNA from 1 species